rnacentral:rRNA from 1 species
CCUACGGGAGGCAGCAGUGAGGAAUAUUGGUCAAUGGUCGGGAGACUGAACCAGCCAAGCCGCGUGAGGGAUGAAGGUACAGAGUAUCGUAAACCUCUUUUGUCAGGGAACAAAGGCGGGGACGUGUCACCGGAUGAGUGUACCUGAAGAAAAAGCAUCGGCUAACUCCGUGCCAGCAGCCGCGGUAAUACGGAGGCUGCGCGCGUUAUCCGGAUUUGUUGGGUUUAAAGGGGGCGCAGUGGUUCGGUAAAGUCAGGGGUAACAGCCCGGGGCUCAACCCCGUCCCGCCGUUGAAACUGGCAGUCGCGAGUUGGAGAGAAGUAUGCGGAAUGCGCGGUGUAGCGGGGAAAUGCAUAGAUAUCGCGCAGAACUCCGAUUGCGAAGGCAGCAUGCCGGCUCCACACUGACGCUGAGGCACGAAAGCGUGGGUAUCGAACAGGAUUAGAUACCCCAGUAGUC